UAGGGGGCAAGCGUUAUCCGGAUUUACUGGGUGUAAAGGGUGCGUAGGUGGCAUGGCAAGUCAGAAGUGAAAGCCCGGGGCUCAACCCCGCGGACUGCUUUUGAAACUGUCAGGCUGGAGUACAGGAGAGGUAAGCGGAAUUCCUAGUGUAGCGGUGUAAUGCGUAGAUAUUAGGAGGAACACCAGUGGCGAAGGCGGCUUACUGGACUGUAACUGACACUGAGGCACGAAAGCGUGGGGAGCAAA
rnacentral:rRNA from 1 species